GACGAACGCUGGCGGCGUGCUUAACACAUGCAAGUCGAACGGAAAGGCCCUGCUUUUGUGGGGUGCUCGAGUGGCGAACGGGUGAGUAACACGUGAGUAACCUGCCCUUGACUUUGGGAUAACUUCAGGAAACUGGGGCUAAUACCGGAUAGGAGCUCCUGCUGCAUGGUGGGGGUUGGACAGUUUCGGCGGUUGGGGAUGGACUCGCGGCUUAUCAGCUUGUUGGUGGGGUAGUGGCUUACCAAGGCUUUGACGGGUAGCCGGCCUGAGAGGGUGACCAGCCACAUUGGGACUGAGAUACGGCCCAGACUCCUACGGGAGGCAGCAGUGGGGAAUAUUGCACAAUGGGCGGAAGCCUGAUGCAGCAACGCCGCGUGCGGGAUGACGGCCUUCGGGUUGUAAACCGCUUUCGCCUGUGACGAAGCGUGAGUGACGGUAAUGGGUAAAGAAGCACCGGCUAACUACGUG
rnacentral:rRNA from 1 species